GCAAACUUGGUCAUUUAGAGGAAGUAAAAGUCGUAACAAGGUUUCCGUAGGUGAACCUGCGGAAGGAUCAUUAUGGUGUCAUGGGUUUAUUAACUGUGAAGCAGGGGGUGUGGUGGUUGGGUGUGGUGGUGUCCGGUGGGGCGCCAUGGUGCUCAGUACAACAAUACCGCCGCAUAUCAACAACGCGACAAAAACCAUAACGACAACAACGCGAAACGUUACAACUCCCAGCAGCGGAUCUCUUGGCUCCUGCAUCGAUGAAGAACGCAGC
rnacentral:misc_RNA from 1 species